AUCCAGAUGAUGAGUCCCAAAACAGGAAGAAAUAUGCAUCCUGGAU
rnacentral:hammerhead_ribozyme from 1 species